rnacentral:rRNA from 1 species
UGGGGAAUAUUGCACAAUGGGCGCAAGCCUGAUGCAGCCAUGCCGCGUGUAUGAAGAAGGCCUUCGGGUUGUAAAGUACUUUCAGUCGGGAGGAAGGUGGUAAGGUUAAUAACCUUAUCAAUUGACGUUACCGACAGAAGAAGCACCGGCUAACUCCGUGCCAGCAGCCGCGGUAAUACGGAGGGUGCAAGCGUUAAUCGGAAUUACUGGGCGUAAAGCGCACGCAGGCGGUCUGUCAAGUCGGAUGUGAAAUCCCCGGGCUCAACCUGGGAACUGCAUUCGAAACUGGCAGGCUAGAGUCUUGUAGAGGGGGGUAGAAUUCCAGGUGUAGCGGUGAAAUGCGUAGAUAUAUGGAGGAACACCAGUGGCGAAGGCGGCUCUCUGGUCUGUAACUGACGCUGAGGCUCGAAAGCGUGGGGAGCAAACAGG